AGAGUUUGAUCCUGGCUCAGGAUAAACGCUGGCGGCGUGCCUAACACAUGCAAGUCGAACGCUCUGUAGCAAUACAGGGAGUGGCGGACGGGUGAGUAACACGUGGGUAUCUACCCAAAGGUGAGGAAUACCGGCGAGAAAUCGCCGACAAGACCGCAUAAGCUUCGGAAGAAGCAAAGCUCGCAAGGGCGCCUAUGGAUGAACCUGCGGCUGAUUAGCUAGUUGGUGGGGUAAAGGCCUACCAAGGCGACGAUCAGUAGCUGGUCUGAGAGGACGAUCAGCCACACUGGGAUUGAGAACGGCCCAGACUCCUACGGGGGGCAGCAGUGAGGAAUUUUCGUCAAUGGGGGAAACCCUGAACGAGCAACGCCGCGUGCAGGAAGAAGGUUUUCGGAUCGUAAACUGCUUUUCUUGGGGAAGAGAACGGACGGUACCCAAGGAAGAAGCCCCGGCUAACUACGUGCCAGCAGCCGCGGUAAUA
rnacentral:rRNA from 1 species